GCUGCAUGCCAGGGUCUCGGAGCCCCCUGCCAGCAGCUCUGGCCAUCCAGGGCACCCAGAGGGAUGUCCUGGGUUCCCACAACUGGGGAGUUACUACAGACUGAAAGGUCACCUUCAAUAACAAUUAUUCCCUUUUUACAGCUCACCUUCUGUCACAAUCAGGCUGCACAUUUUGGUGUUGCUUUCGUUUCUCCCACUGAUACUGCAUGUUGUAAGGAAGGAAACAACUCUGGUCUCAUCCUUUGUUCUGUCAGAAGCUGAACAUAAGACUGGUACUUGAAUUCUCAGUUUCAUGUGGAUUAUGUUACCUGUCUGUGUUGUGAUCCGUUUCUGUUUUCCAUAUGAUACAGUUGGUGUAGGAUUUUUAAUCUUAUAAAUGCUAUAACCUGGAAGAACCAACGUUCAUUUCCUCUGGAGCCUUAUGAAAAGUAUCAAGGGUGCGCCUGACUUGUGGUGACAGAGCUUUUCAGCAUACCCUGAGAAAGAAGGGCUUCUGGGCACACAUGGCAGCCAGAUAUGGCUUACACGCACAACGGCGUACACAGAGCACCAGUUAUUAACUUUCCAUCCAUGGAUAUGCUAACCAGAUACUUUAAUUGCACUUCUAACGUACCAUCACAUGUCUGGGGUCAGACACUGGUUGCACCCAGCUGCAGAUCAGGCUGAGGUUCCAUACGACCACAAACAGUGGAGAUAAGGUGAAAGCCAAAUACCUUUAGUCUUAUGAACCCUCUGUCUCAGAUAUUACAUCAGACAAUCAUGAAAGGACAGACAGAAUAAAUUAGUCAAUGUAAAAUGUAUCUGAAAGACUGAGAUAAUCCUAUAAUUCCCAGUAUUAUCCCUAAUAACACGACUGUAGAACCAGUGAUGAAAUGGAGCAAAGAGGUCAUUGCAUGCCAGGGUUCAGAUAAGAUCUUCUGUGGAUUCUUUCCUGUAAGAUCUAACCAAAGAAGCUGAAAGUAAUUUGAAAAGAACUUUUUAAAGCAGUCUUUAGUCUGAAGGGAUUAGGAGCCCACAGAUGAAUAUGAUGUUCCUCAAUCUCCCUGGAAAAAAAAAAGUCUUUGCCAGGGCAGCCUCAAAUCACUGCAAAGAAAUAAUUAAAAUUCAGAAUACAAUUCCCAGGCGCAAUGCAGCACAUAUUUGGUGUGAUUAAGGAAUGGUAAAAGGGGACUUUAAAGGGACCUUACAUGGGGAGCUGAUUGGAAAAGCUUUUGGGAAGGGUCUUGCAUCUGGGUCAGGUUUUUGGGAGGAGGAGAGCAGCUUUUAGCAAUUACCUGUAUCUUACUCCCAGAGUUGCAGCAGAGGUGGUGAAGGUGUGCUGUGGCUCUCAGAGAAGAGAUCUCAGCAUGGUUCUGGUGGCCUGGGGAUCCACCUGCUUGUGGCUCGUGUCCUCUGGCCCAUGUGGUGGCCUCUGCAGUGGUGGCCUUUUGACGACUGCACUCUUGUUUUUAUUUUUGUGUUGGGACAGGUCCCACCAGUAGGAUCUGAUGGAUGAAAGAAGGCUGAAGAAAGUGGUUGAUGUGCAGGCUCAGCUGAUGUUCGACUGCUCCUGUGCCCACAGCUGCAUGUUGAGGAUAUGGGCGCCUGUGGCCCUCUGGUUCUUGGGAUGCUGGGAUGGCUGUAACAAAGGGGUCACAGCUGGGACUAGAGCAUCAGAUGGACAGGUCACCAAAAGUGUGGUGGUGCAUGUCCUGAGCUGAAACCAAGAAAAACUUUUGUUUUCUUUUCUUUUUUCAGAGAGAAGGUAGCAGAGUGUAACCAAUUCCAAGGCAUCUGUUUACAAAUUAGUGGUUCUGAUGAUGUCUGGAUCUUAGUACCACAAAGUCCUCCUUGAAACCACUCCUUGUUCAUUCUUCCCAGAGGAUCCCAGGAGAAAGGUGUCCUUCAUCCAGUGAAGUCAAGUUGCCUGUUGUAAUGCAGGAUUGACUUUUUGCAGGAUAGUCUUGGCUGGACAGAGGAGCAGAAGUUUAGCAACCUCUUAAGCUUGUAGCCUGAAGAGAUGAGAAGUAGAGUGAUUCUUUAAGGUCUUCAGCUUCCCCAUCCAUCUCCUGUUGAUAUAAUUGGAGAAUGAGCUCAUGAGACAAAACCAGUAAAUGUGGCCUCUGAGGUAGGAAUAAUUUCCUGGGAUGUGGUGUCCAGCUGCGUGUAUUUGUGAUAUACCGAAAAUAAGGGAUACGGCUACUUUGGAGAGAGUUUCCAGUGGAGAAGCUCUGAAUGGCCUGAGAUCUGAUAGACAUCCCAGAUUUUGGCUCUGAGUCCAGUGAAGUAUUUCUAAGCAUGCUUAACUCCAGGCACAUGACUACUCUAGCAAAUAUUUGGAAGACUUUCUACAGGCUUAAAGUCUUCUCAUCAGGUGUUCUGUAGGAGUGAAAAGAUGAUCGUGGUGGUUAGCCCGUCCCAGCGGAAAUACCAUGACUAAUCUCUGAUAAUCGAAAACUUUCCUCUUUCUGGGAAGAUGUAUGAUGAAACUUUCCCAAUGGAACUUCCAGAAUGAAGAUUUUUAUCCUGGAUGCUUAUUUUGACACCCCAGAUGGUUAUUCAAUCCAUGAAGUAUGGGACAAGUCAUUUUCACAUUAUCCCAAGGGAAGCUCUUUGAAAGAACUGUGGCCUCUUUGCACUUGAAGAGCAAUUUCCCCUGUCCUCUUCCGCCUCUUUCAUGUUAUUUAUUUUCUAGUAACACCGACCUUCUGCACCGAAGGACUCUCCUACGUGA